AUACUUACCUGGCAGGGGAGAUUACCAUGAUCACCGAAGGUGGUUUUCCCAGGGCGAGGCUUAUCCAUUGCACUCCGGAUGUGCUGACCCCUGCGAUUUCCCCAAAUGUGGGAAAUCGACUGCAUAAUUUGUGGUAGUGGGGGACUGCGUUCGCGCUUUCCCCUG
rnacentral:snRNA from 1 species